AGGGAACGUGAAAGGACGACCUUCGGGAGCCUAUACAGGUGUUGCAUGGCUGUCGUCAGCUCGUGUCGUGAGAUGUUCGGUUAAGUCCGCUAACGAGCGCAACCCUCGUCGUAUGUUAUAUGUGUCAUACGAGACUGCCGGUAAAAAGCCGGAGGAAGGUGAGGAUGAUGUCAAGUCAGCAUGACCUUUAUAUCCAGGGCUACACACACGCUACAAUGGUCUGUACAAUGGGUAGCCAAGCCGCGAGGCGGAGCCAAUCCUGAAAGCAGGCCUCAGUUCAGAUUGCAGUCUGCAACUCGACUGCAUGAAGCCGGAGUUGCUAGUAACCGCAGGUCAGCAAUACUGCGGUGAAUACGUUCCCGGGUCUU
rnacentral:rRNA from 1 species